rnacentral:misc_RNA from 1 species
CAUAUUCUAUGGCCGCUGGCGGCUACGCCACUGAGAAAAGAUAAAGGUGUUAGCUUUUCUCCCAAUUAGAGGUCCAAUCCUGCGAUGAAGACUGCCUGCGGUCAGAGCCCAACUUCGUUCUACCGAUUGGGCUGUGAUGGCCUCGCGGGCUAAUCCAAAAAAAGAAACCUUUUAUUGUGUUUGAUUUAUUUGUUUGUUGGAUUGAUUGACUUGCUCACACACUGGAUUUUUCCCCUUUUUUUUUUCCUUUAAUUUUGGUCAGUAAUGAUGAAGAAAGCUUCCAGAGAGAAAGAACUCCCGCUCUGCGUUCUGCUCCCCUGUUCAAGAUCCAAUAUUCGACCAGUGAACGUGAAUCCGAUUUCUAGAUGGAGAAAAGACAGAUUUGGGCUUGGCGAUGACAAACAAGGCAGGCCGCAACCCAACUACAAGAGCUCUGUAAAUGGUUUAGUUUCAAACGACAGGUCGUAGACGCAUAUAACAAUCUUGCACUUAGGAAAUCAAAUGAUAGAUUGGUGCUCUUACAAGUGUU